rnacentral:rRNA from 1 species
AACGAACGCUGGCGGCAGGCUUAACACAUGCAAGUCGAACGGGUGUAGCAAUACAUCAGUGGCAGACGGGUGAGUAACACGUGGGAACCUUCCUAGGGGUACGGAACAACUCAGGGAAACUUGAGCUAAUACCGUAUACGUCCGUAAGGAGAAAGAUUCAUCGCCCCUAGACGGGCCCGCGUCGGAUUAGGUAGUUGGUGGGGUAACGGCCUACCAAGCCCACCGAUCCGUAGCUGAUCUGAGAGGAUGAUCAGCCAC